rnacentral:rRNA from 1 species
GAUGAACGCUAGCGGCAGGCCUAAUACAUGCAAGUCGAACGGUGUAGCAAUACACAGUGGCGCACGGGUGCGUAACACGUAUGCAACCUACCUUACAUUGGGGGAUAGCCUUUCGAAAGGGAGAUUAAUACCGCAUAAGACAGUAACUAGGCAUCUAGUAGCUGUUAAAGAUUUAUCGAUGUAAGCUGGGCAUGCGUCCAAUUAGUUAGUUGGCGAGGUAAUGGCUCACCAAGACGAUGAUUGGUAGGGGAACUGAGAGGUCAAUCCCCCACACUGGCACUGAGAUACGGGCCAGACUCCUACGGGAGGCAGCAGUAGGGAAUAUUGGGCAAUGGGCGCAAGCCUGACCCAGCCAUGCCGCGUGCAGGAAGAAGGCGUUAUGCGUUGUAAACUGCUUUUAUACAGGAAGAAACGACCCUUGCGAGGGGCACUGACGGAACUGUAUGAAUAAGCACCGGCUAACUCCGUGCCAGCCGCCGCCGUAAAAC